AGAGUUUGAUCCUGGCUCAGGAUGAACGCUGACAGAAUGCUUAACACAUGCAAGUCAACUUGAAUUUGGGUUUUUAACUUAGGUUUGGGUGGCGGACGGGUGAGUAACGCGUAAAGAACUUGCCUCACAGCUAGGGACAACAUUUGGAAACGAAUGCUAAUACCUGAUAUUAUGAUUUUAGGGCAUCCUAGAAUUAUGAAAGCUAUAUGCGCUGUGAGAGAGCUUUGCGUCCCAUUAGCUAGUUGGAGAGGUAACGGCUCACCAAGGCGAUGAUGGGUAGCCGGCCUGAGAGGGUGAACGGCCACAAGGGGACUGAGACACGGCCCUUACUCCUACGGGAGGCAGCAGUGGGGAAUAUUGGACAAUGGACCAAGAGUCUGAUCCAGCAAUUCUGUGUGCACGAUGAAGUUUUUCGGAAUGUAAAGUGCUUUCAGUUGGGAAGAAAAAAAUGACGGUACCAACAGAAGAAGUGACGGCUAAAUACGUGCCAGCAGCCGCGGUAAUACGUAUGUCACAAGCGUUAUCCGGAUUUAUUGGGCGUAAAGCGCGUCUAGGUGGUUAUGUAAGUCUGAUGUGAAAAUGCAGGGCUCAACUCUGUAUUGCGUUGGAAACUGUGUAACUAGAGUACUGGAGAGGUAAGCGGAACUACAAGUGUAGAGGUGAAAUUCGUAGAUAUUUGUAGGAAUGCCGAUGGGGAAGCCAGCUUACUGGACAGAUACUGACGCUAAAGCGCGAAAGCGUGGGUAGCAAACAGGAUUAGAUACCCUGGUAGUCCACGCCGUAAACGAUGAUUACUAGGUGUUGGGGGUCGAACCUCAGCGCCCAAGCAAACGCGAUAAGUAAUCCGCCUGGGGAGUACGUACGCAAGUAUGAAACUCAAAGGAAUUGACGGGGACCCGCACAAGCGGUGGAGCAUGUGGUUUAAUUCGA
rnacentral:rRNA from 1 species